GGCGUCGGAGGCGGGGACUAGGGGGAGGUGUUUGAACAUUAUUACCGGGUUGGGCGGGCCCCGUCUGGGAGGGGUUUGUACGUGAGCCUUGGGUCCCCCGCCCGCUGAGGAGAUGGAUGAGGACGGGCUUCCUCUCAUGGGGUCAGGCAUAGACCUGACCAAGGUGCCAGCUAUUCAACAGAAAAGAACGGUGGCAUUUCUAAACCAGUUUGUGGUGCACACUGUACAGUUCCUCAACCGCUUUUCUACAGUUUGUGAGGAGAAACUGGCAGACCUUUCUCUUCGUAUCCAGCAAAUUGAAACAACUCUCAAUAUUUUGGAUGCAAAGUUGUCAUCUAUCCCAGGCCUAGAUGAUGUGACAUUUGAAGUAUCACCUGUAAGUGUCACUGGUGUCACAAAAGAAUCACAUUCUGAAACCACUUCAGAGAAAUCACAACAGAACAGUUUACAAGACUCUGGACCACAGGAAAGUGAAGUAACACCAGAAAAUAUCUUAACUGUAGCCAAGGAUCCAAGAUAUGCCAGAUAUCUCAAAAUGGUUCAAGUGGGUGUUCCAGUGAUGGCAAUAAGAAACAAAAUGAUAUCAGAAGGACUAGACCCAGAUCUUCUUGAGACCCAGUCUGGAAGAACAGUCCCUACACGGGACAUACCUGGAGAACCGGCCAAACCUUAAGAUAAGUCUUAUACCUUCUGCCUACAUGAUGAAUGCCAUAUUUACUCACAUUUCAUUGGUCAAAGUACAUCACAUAGUCACACCCAGUGAGAACCACCCAAGAUUUUCAUAGAGGAUGACAGAUCACAUGGAGAGAGGCACCAUGCUCUUCCACUGUUUCAGCUAUCCCACAUAGUGUUCCACAGGACAAAACUGGCAGAAAACUCAACAUCAGAUUCAACUUCAGCUAAAGACCCUGAAGAAACAAUGCCUCCUUUGAAAGAAUUGAAGAGUCCAGAAACUUCUAGUUUCAACCAGCAACUGUCUAAACUGACAACCUGCUCUGCAGCCUGAUGGAUGACAAAGCUUCAUGGACUGGGAGAGAAUUCCAUGUCAAGAAUGUCUGCUUCUGAGAGCUAGUUCUGAUUGCCCUCAUCCCCAUUAACAAAAACAGAUGUGGGCUCAUGAGCCAAGUAAACAUUCAAGGCCAAUAUAUGUUCCUUUCCGCCAAUCUAGUUUGGCACUUCAAUAUGAGCAAAUAGUCUAUGAAGCAGAGUGGAACUUUUCUGUAACAUUGGUGUCAAGUGACAGGACUCACAUCUGUGUAUUAGGUUAACUGUUAUAUUAAACAUCUAUGGAAUAGACUCUUUCUGUUUCAUGGGGAAUGAUUUGAGCUACGAUUAAAUCUACUGACAUGGACUAGUUAUUCUCUAAUAACUGAGUUUGAAUCCUGGUUCUGUUGCUUACUAUCUAUGUAAACUUGUGCAAGUCAUUUAACUUCAGUUUCUAUCUCUAAAAUGGAGGUUUUAAUAGCAUGUUAUCUCCUACCCUGUCGGCACUAAGCAUGAAAAAUGUGAGCUCAUUCUAGGAUUAUUCCAUGACACCAGAGGAAGUAGAAUCCAAGAAGGCUGGGUACCUAAAUCUAUCUUCAUUUAUUCUUUCAUCAAAUAUUACUGAGUACCUACAGUGUGAUGAUGAAAGACAUAACUCAAUACCAUCGUGGAGUUUAUGGUUUCCUGGUUCAUCCGCGACCCUGGAUGUGACCCUUCAAUAUCACUCAGCACCCUGAGCAUGGUGCUUCUCAAAGUAAUUUGAACAUUAGAAUUACCUGGUGUUCUAAGGCCGCAUCCUGCUGAAUAUCCUGAGAAGAUUCUGACUUCCUUUUCCUCACUGGCAAAACAGGGAGCAAAGCAAUCCCUACCACAAUCUUUUUGCGCAUUUCAAGAGGAAGAGUUUGGAAACCAUGAAGCUACUUUCCAGUGUAUGCCAUCCAGACUGUCUCUGGGGGUUCAGAGAAGCCAGCCGAGGACCACUCAGCCUGUGUUCUAUCUCAGUGUCCUCUUACCCACCUCCUCUCUUGGCACUCUCUGGGGACAUGAGUCAGCGGCCACCUGCCCCCAUUUUAACCUAAUGAGCUAAUGGAGCUCAGACUGAAACCAGCCUCAAGUCCACCACCAAGGUGGACACCUGUAUUAAAUUUUAUGAAUGCCUAUUAUAAGGCUUCAGAGGGCCAUUCAGUGGCCAUACCUGGUGGUUUCCAGGGCACAGCCCUGCCUUCCCUUCUCACCUGCUGAAAUUGGAGAUAAACCCAAAUAUUAGAGUGGUGAACAGCAGGGAACUCAAGAAGAACUGAGUAAGUUUUCCUCACCCAGCCCCUGUCCGGACGCCUCUCCAGCUUUAUCUCCCCCUUCUCCUCCUCUUCCUCCACACAUCCAUCGAACCUCUGACUACCUCUUCCCUUUUUUUCCAGUAAUAAAAUCCUCCAGUUUUUAACUGGCCACAAAGCCAUCUAGAAUAACGACUACAUUUCCCAGCCCCCUUCCUACUGUGAGCAAUGGAAAGUAAGCAGAAAUGUCAAAUGGCCGCAGCUGGGAACCAUCCUCCCUAAAAUAACUGACAUGUGUUUUGUCCCUUUGCUAUCCUAUCCUGUCCUCCAUCCUGCUGCUUGGAAUGUAAAUGUAGUGGCUAAAGCUUUAGCAUCUAUUUUGGAUGUUGGGAACAAGACUGCCCAUCAGGAGAACUGGAACAGAAAAGAAGCUUGGAGCCCUGAGCACAGUGGAGCCAAGCCUGUAGCUUGGUCUUGAAUUAUCAACCUCUAGACUCAUAUAUAAGAAAAAAAACAAAACAAAACUUCUAUCUAUUUGAAGCCACUGUUAUAUUGGGUUUCUGCUACUCACAUCCAGAAUGAGUCCUAACUGACAAAGUGCUCAGAGCGGGAUUCUGGAGUUAGACUGCCUAGGUUCUAUCCCUUAUGAGAUCGUAGACAGAGGUAAUUCGCUUUACUUCUUGCCCCAGCUGUUAAAUGAGAAUGAUAAAAAUAGCGUCUACCUUCUAGGUAAAAAUGAGCUAAUACACAUGAGGCUUGAAAUAUGUAAAGCCUGGCACGUAAUAAGCAUCUAGAAUAAAGGUAUGCCCCAAAGUAGCAAGAUUGAAGGUUAUUCUUCUCUUGAAUCAGGCUGCAACAAUGGCAAUAGUGCUAAUAAUAAUAUCUUUAGAAGUUUAUAGAACACUUUGCAGGAAUAUUUUCAACAUAGCUAUGAAUGACAUAUUAUUACUUGCAU